rnacentral:lncRNA from 1 species
GACAUUUCCUUCCGAGCUGCUGGUCAAAAGAGAAGACCAUUUUAUGAUCUUGCAAGAUAAUCAAGGCUUGAAAUGCUGAGCAUCCGGUCGAUGGCUAAUGUUCUUCAAUCCAAAGUCGAGCAUCUGACAAAGGAGAAUGAGGAGCUGAAGCGGAAGGUUCAAGAUGCUUAGUUGCUGCUCGAUGGCUUUGAUCUUCUUCCUGGUUGUUGUACUGUUGUCUAUCAGUGACCUUCAGAAGUCCACUUGUUCGAUGUACCUUGUAAGUCGUCGUAGUUGUAGUGUUUCUGCCUCUGUGUCCCUUGUCUGUCUUGAACUAAAAAAUACUUUGAACCAGAUAGACAAUGAUUUGGGCCUAUUCCCCCUUCUAUCAUGUUAAUUUGGGAAGCAGCACCUGAUUGAUCUCUUGAGCAAUCCUUUUGUUAUGGGGUCGCACAUGAUUUAUUUAUAUGGAGCCGUUGCUACUUCCGGGGAUACCAAUGGAGGUUAUGAGUUUGG